ensembl:lncRNA
ACACUUUCAACUGUUCUUUCUUUGAAUCUCUCAGCAGUCAAAGCAUAUGCAUGAGCCUUUUCCCCAUAACAAAAGAAUAAAUUGGAGAGCAUCAGACACAGCCAAAAGAGGUUAUAGAGGGAGUAGACAUUUAAAUACAGAGGAAACACCAAAGUCAAGGGUUAUAAAUAUCAGCUCAUUUGAAGUGAAGUUGUCUGACUUUCCGGAACUAUGUGACGUUACCACCAGCAACUCUAAGACUGCCUUUAGUGAAGAGCCACGGCUGUGCUGGAGUCCAGGUGCUUCACCAGCUCUUCAGAAUUCAUCAGCAGCUCCAAGUAAGAUGUCAGGAAACGCAGUACAAAAGCAAAAGUCAAUUCACCAAGUCCCCUCAACAGAAAUGUGUGUGAAUCCUUUGUCUGUCACACCAGGUCAUGAUAUUGAACUUGUGUUACCCAAUCCCUAUGGAUUACCAGUAACUUCCUGGGCCAACAUUGCCUCUCAACCUCCUAAAGUUGUCCAAAAGAUUUCCACCACACAUAUGUCUUCUCAGGAGACAUUUCAAGGAGACAAAGAAACUUCUCCACUACAAUCUGAUCAAACUACCGAGAAGAAGAAAAGGAAGAAAAAGAAGAAAUCUAAAACAGUGAGUGAGGGAGUGGAGCAGCAGACAGAUGAUGUACUGAUUCAACAGGAACCCCCCAAGAUUGAGGAUGAAGAGGAGUUCCCAGACUUGUCUUCUGCCUUUGGUGUUUCAGCCAAAGGGGCGAGCCAUACUUUGAACUCAGCAGUCCAGGUGAAGCUUUUAAAGGACAAAUAUGCAAGCUGCAAGGAUGUUGCUGUGCUCUGUUCCUUACAUUUCUCUCCACUACACAGGAAAAUACAGGGAUCUCUGAGAGAGAGGGAUCAUCUCAGUCAGAAAGUAUGAACAAGAGUAAAUCCACCUCUGGAAAGCCGAGCCAAACCGAUUCUAAGAAAGUACAGGUUGGUUAUGGGCUCAGCAGGAUUGAGAUGACCAGCGUUUCAAUGAGAGUAACUUGUUACACUAUGGUGUAACUUAUUGAAUCUACCAUAUACAGUUGUGUUCAAAAUAAUAGC